GCGACAACAACAACAAAAAAGAAAUUAAAUUUAUAUGAUUUUAACUAUUCUUUAAUCUGCUUCUGGGCAACAAAAGUGAUUUUUGUCAGCUGCUAUGGCAUUAAACUUUAAUUUUCUUCCACCGGCACAGGAUUAUAUAAAGGAGUAUUGGAUUGCACUCAGCAUGGAUUAGCGGAGCACUGUCUCUGCUGCCAAGGAGAAAUGGAUUUCCUUCUUUCUUUGAUUUAUAUUUUUAUUGCUGUUUUUCCCCUCCUUCUAAUUCCCAUUACCCUUCUGUUUGCCAGCUCUGAGAUACCCUGUAGGAGCAGCAGCAAGGCAGGCAGAAUUAUUGGUUUAUUGCAUAUAGUUAUGUUCCAAGGCUUUUCAGUCAUCUAUGUCAGAGUCUCCAGCCAUGGAGACUGCAUGCCAAUUUUAAACUAUAAAAUUAAAAAAAUUAAGGUUAAAAAGUCACCUUUUGCUUGCUGAAAAUCAGUAAAACCAGCUGGAUUUGACCUCACAUCUAAUGUCCCAGCUGUAUCUCACAACAGGUAGAAAAAACCUCAAUGGGGUAGAUACAAAAUAAAAAUCCCAGAACUACCUUUUGCACACAAGAAGGUAUGUAUAGCAGGGUCCCUGAGAUUCAGAAUGGAGAAGAAGCCCUCUGGCUUUACCUUUUGGGUCUUUGGGAUACCAGUUAUCUCUGGAAACAAGAGCAAAUAAACUCCCUCCAGUCAAGGCACACAGGGCCAAUAGUUGGCCCUGUGUGUAAAGCCUAGAGGGGAUGCUAAGGGCAGGGCUCCAAGACUGUGAUGGAGAGACUGAUUGAAUGAAGCAGAGGACAGCUCACUAACAGUGGCAAGUAAACAAGAACAAUGGUGUGCUCUGUUGGUCUGCAAAGAACUCUGGAUUUCUGAAGAAGAAAAUAAGCCUGCCAGACUUCAGUUUGAAUUUUGGUUCUCACAGACUUCUUGAAAACAGUGUCAUGAAUUCCUGAGUUUCAGAAAAGUGGCUAUUAGGGAGCCACUCCACAGCAGAUGUUACUUAGCAAUACUUGCAAGGAAUCCAAGUGGCCAAAUGAGGGUCUGACUCUACUUACAGUGAGUAGCUCCUGUCCUGGGGGACUGGAAUUGAUUCCCAAAGGAAGUACAGUGAGCUUGCCCAUGCUAAAGAAACUUGUCUGUGAUUAAGAGAACCAUUGUAAAGAUCGGAAUAAAGAUUAAGAAAGUCAUUGGUAGGCCAUUCAAACUGAAGAUCACGACCUCAUUAAUGGAGUAGAGGUUUCCAGAGAAUUGAAAGAGCAGGAAACAUUGCUCAUGAAUUCAUCCUCUUGUGUCUUUUCAUAUAUUCAAAAGUUGGAACUAUACAAGUGCAGUUAAGUGUGAACCAUAUCCAUUCACCUUUCAGUACAUCUAUUUAUGGAGUAAAUAAUGUACAAUGUGUUUCUAGAAUGGAGAGACACUUUUUACUGUCACUCAUCCAAUAUUUCAGUGUAUUUUCAAACCAUAUACAAUAUUAUGCAAUAAAAAGGGAAAUAUUAAGAAGCCUCAUUCCAAAGUCAUACAAUAUUUGGGUCAGAUGUUCAGUUCAUGUUUGUUCCAUUCUCCUUCAGCAUGACAAUACUAUAUGACAUGCCACAAACAUGCAGUUAAAGACUCUUUUUAAAUAGGCUAUUUUGAUUUUUUAUUAUAACAGCUUAAAGCAAUUCUAUGCCACCCCAAAUCUCUAGCAAAUUCCAAGCUAUAUUGAACAAACUUUUAUUUUGAGAUACUACUUGGAAAGACUAAAUUUGGUUCCAUUGUUCCUGUCUCUUCUAAUGGAAUUCUGGACAGUAAACUUUUUUUUUUUUUUUUAAUGCAAGUUCUCCUGUAUGCAGUCUGCUUUGGAGACUAGGAAUUACCCUGAAAACAACUCUAAGGUUUAACAAAAACCUACAAUAUCUCAGGGAAAAAAAUAGAUCACAUGGGGGAAACAACUUUUGAAAAAUAUAAAAGUUAAAGAAAAAUUUUCUCCACUAAAUGUAUUCCAGUGGAGUAGGUUCAUCAUGGCAUUUAUGUCUUAUGCCUUAAGCAGAAAUUAAAAAUAAAAUUUGUCUUCUCUCUUCUAAGUUCGUUUGAUAUAUAGUGCUGUCAUGUUCCAUUUGUUUUCUUUAAAAAAACAAAAUCAUUCAACAAGACUUUCAUAAGUUUAAUUACUCUAAGAUAUAAAUGACAAAAAAAUUUUAAGUAUUACUUCAGUACCUCACAAUUUUUGUUGUAUUAAUGAGUUAAAACUUCUUAGGACCUCCUAUAGUUUGCCUCUUUUGACUAAGCAUCCAGCUACACUUGAAUAAAUUUAUGUACAUGAAGAUCACAUUAAAAGCACUGGGAACUUUAUUCCUAAGUUUAUAGUAAAUUAAUCAAAUUCAUUUCAAUAUGUAGCUUUUAUCUAAAAUGUAUCCCCCCAAAUGUAGUAUGUGUGUUUUUUUUCCUUCUAACAUCAAAUAUGUGCCUUUUUGUCAUACCAAUUCUAUUUACCAAGUAUCCAACAAUUCAAUUUUGACCUAACUUUCAGAGUUAACACAGACUCUACAGACUGUCUCUAGUUCAAACACCAUUUGCAAAUGGAGUAGUUAGUUAUUCCCAUUUCUUCCCAGCACAUUAAAAAUUCAGGAAUUUCCAUGACCUCCUCCUCACGUUUGAUAAUUUACUAUAACCACUUACAGAAAUCAGGAAAGUGUUUUACUUACAAUUACCAGUUUAUCAUAAAGGAGUCUAGAGAAGAAUAAUCAAUGGUGAGAUAUAUAUGGUAAAGGAUUAGGAGAGGGACAAUCUCAGAACAGUGAAUUUGUAAUUAAUGUAAAUAUGUCCUAAUACCUCUGUCUACACCAUCAAUCUAGGAUACUCUUGCUUUGGAACUGGAUUUUGUAAUUUUCCUUUUAAUUUCUGAGUGUAUAUUCUAUUCCAAUUUAUGAAAUCUGGACAAUUUAGAUGGCACGGUUAGACCAUUGAUUGGAUAUUAAACCCAGGGUAUAUUAAAGGAUUUUCUUACUAAAUAGCUCUGAUGGAUUAAAAA
rnacentral:lncRNA from 1 species